UACGUAGGGUGCAAGCGUUGUCCGGAAUUAUUGGGCGUAAAGAGCUCGUAGGCGGUCUGUCGCGUCGGAUGUGAAAAUCCAGGGCUCAACCCUGGACCUGCAUUCGAUACGGGCAGACUAGAGUUCGGUAGGGGAGACUGGAAUUCCUGGUGUAGCGGUGAAAUGCGCAGAUAUCAGGAAGAACACCUAUGGCGAAGGCAGCCCUCUGGGACGGUACUGACGCUGAGACGCGAAAGCGUGGGGAGCGAACAGG
rnacentral:rRNA from 1 species